rnacentral:rRNA from 1 species
AUGUUGCAUUGGUAUGCUCGAGAACUAUACUUGAGAUAUGAUUAUACUUGUUGCUCUAGAAUGAAGGCUCCACACCUUCCCUUUUCAUGUAAAUUUAAUGAUAAUGAAACCUUGGCUUCUUAUUCUAAUGGUAUAUAUUAUUAUUAUGAUGUGGAACGAAUAGAAGAAUUUGUUGCUUUUAAGGGUGCUUAUGAAAUUGAAUUUUUGUUUGAAAAGUAUGAAGCUUUUGAUGAUGAUGUUUAUAGGCCUGAAAAUUUUGCUAUACUUAAAUAUUGCUAUGAGAAUUAUGAAUAUAAUGCCGAUAUUGAUGCGUUUAUUCAGGAAGUCUCCGCUGUCCAAGAAGAGACUAAUAUUUUGCAGGAAACUAUUAAAGAAGAAAUUAAUGACACUGUGAGCUCAUUAGAUGAAAAAGGUGAUAAGGAGGAAGAGCGGAUUAGCUACCCAUGCCCACCUUCUAAUGAGAGUAACUCUUCAACUCAUACAUUGUUUAAUUUCCCUUCAUGCUUACCGAAGGAUGAGUGCUAUGAUAAUUGCUAUGAUCCCUUUAAUUCGUUUGAAAUAUCCGUUUUUGAUGAACUUGAUGCUUGCUAUGCUUGUGGCCAUGAUGCCAAUAUGAAUGAUUCUUAUGGAGAUGAACUUGCUAUAGUUCCUUAUGUUAAGAAUGAAAUUGUUACUAUUGCACCCACACAUGAUAGUCCUAUUAUCCUUUUGAAUUCUCCCAACUACACUAUAUCAGAGAAGUUUGUGCUUAUUAAGGAUUUUAUUAAUGGGUUGCAUUCUACUAUUGCACAUGAUGAUCUUGAUAAAUAUAAUAUGCAUGUGCUUGCUGCUCCUACUUGCAAUUAUUAUGAGAGAGGAACUAGAUCUCUGCCUCUCUAUGUUUCCAAUACGAUAAAAUUGCAAGAACUGUUUAUAUUAUGCAUUGGCCUUUACUUUGUGUGCAUGAAUUGUUCUUGUAUGACAUGCUGA